CAUUCUGACAGUCUCCCACGGUGAGAAAAACUAAUGUCUUGGGGCCUUUGACCAAAGCAUCCAAAAGUGAUGAGAUGGAAUCAGAACUGAUAAGAAACAACUUUAGAGUUAAAGAAAAUAGUGACAAAUUGAUAAAAGC